rnacentral:rRNA from 1 species
UACAGAGGGGGCAAGCGUUAUUCGGAAUUAUUGGGCGUAAAGGGCGCGUAGGCGAUUUGAAAAGUCUUGUGUGAAAGCCCCCGAGCUUAACUCGGGAAGUGCACAAGAAACUGUUGAAUUUGAGUUCCGGAGAGGAAGGCAGAAUUCCCGGUGUAGCGGUGAAAUGCGUAGAUAUCGGGAGGAAUACCAGUGGCGAAGGCGGCCUUCUGGACGGAUACUGACGCUGAGGCGCGAAAGCCAGGGGAGCAAACGGGG